ACACACAGCAUGCACAGAUAAACCAGGCUGGGAAAUAUAUAUGACUGCGGAUUCACACUAAAUCACUCAACCGUGAGAACAAACACUUGCAUCCAAUGGCUAUGAUGAACGAACGACUGAACGAACACUACAGAACCACUACAGUAAUGUGUGUAUUGAGACACUCACCACCCACCCACUCUGAACCCCCCAACCCCCCACGUCCACUCACCCACCCAGCCUGCCCCCCACCCAUGUCCACUCUAAUACUAUUACUCUAGCAUGCGCUCUGGUGGAGCUUCAGCAGUGGAACUGUGGCCAGCCAUGCCAGACAUACACUCCUUCUGUGUAUCACGCCAUGUCUUAUGGGAGAGCCCGACCGACUGACCCCCUGACCUUUGACUCCCGGCCAGCACGGCUUGAUUCCUGGCAAUGCAAGAGCCUCUCCCUCGCUGGACUGCUCUCCUCCCCGCCGACCUCUGAGUGAAGACGUGGGGUCUCGGAAUAAACCGGCCGGAAAGGCUGGAGGUGACUCUUUUAACCAGGACACAGUAAUGUUAGCCCGUAGAACAAGGUGCUUUUACAGUGAAGGUCUGGGGGUUUAGGGAAUAACCAAUGGGAUGUCCUCCCACCUACACUAACACAGGCACACACAUACACACACAUGUACACACACACACACACACACACACACACAUAUAUAUAUAUAUAUAUAAAACACUAUGUUUGUGGGAAUGCACAUGAAAGCAGCACUAAAUCAGAUCCUUUUGUUUACUUUCUUCUCCUCUCACUCUACUCACAUGUCCUCUGUGUGAUUCUUCCAGCGAUAUGUCGGAGGUUUGCUUUGGCAUUCUCUACUGUCCUUUUCUCUCUUUUUUUAAAGAAAUGUGAAGAAAAUAUGUUGAUGUAAAGAACUUUUAGGGAGUGGGGGAAAGGGGGAAUCAAAUCUCAGAUGUGUGUUAGACAUUGGUGUCAUAGCAUGGUUAGACACAUUCGUUUUAACUUAAAAAUCAUUGCAGCAGAGUUGUGUAUUAUCUCCAUAGUGCACCACUGGACCAAUGGAUUCGUACUAGAGAGAUGUGUGUGUACCAUGUAGAGUUAGCCAGUCAUCUUAGUGAGUACACAGCUUCAGGAGAGUCCGAUCGUAGCCCUCACGCCACGAGCACAGUUCCCUCUGCCCUCAUCCACAUACUACAGUCAAAAGGGAACUCGUUUAGAGCAUUUAUCAAUGUUUUAUUAUCGAGCCGCAUGCACUGGCCUUUCGUUUUUAUCAUGACAUCGAGACACUCGUUUAGCAGCUCCUUCUAGUGUGAAGACAUUUGCAUCUGAGGAGAGGAGACGAGGAAGAGAACCCCCCACCCCCACCCCCCCCACCGUCGUGCAGUGCGUCUGAGGCCUCGUCCCAUUGGCCUCCGUAUUAAACUCCCAUCCAACUGCCAGAAGUAUCGGCUCCCGCAGACAAAACUGCGGGGAAUCGUUGCAUUAUCUCAGUGUGAGUCAAUCAAUACAAGAUCCAGAUGGGCUUAUGUGCAGCAUCAGCACCACAAGCGUGUGCUUUAUGACUGAAUGAUAACAGCAGGGAGGGGGGGGGGUUACCACAGAGGAACAGCUGAAGCUCUUGAGGCUCAUUUAGCUGCUAAAAUCCCGGGUUGAAUCGACACUACCUUUACCCUCAUAGUCUGUAGACUAGCCUGGGGGUCAGUGUGUGGGCUAUUCCGUUAGCAAGGCUGAAGUCAUGGAGUGCCAUAGCUCUCUCUUUCUCUCUCUCUCCUCUGAUGUUGUAAAUGUUUGACCCGGGAGAAAAGUUGUUGUUUUGUUUUGUUUCACUUGAAAACAAACAAACAAACCAACAUUGGAAGCAGCUGCUGCCUCCUCUCACCUGUGCAGCGGUCAAUAUGGAGGGCUUCUCUCAGUCUGUGUUCUGUACAUAUUUAGCUUUUAUUUCUUCUUGUUCUUCUCACCGCGCUCCUCGCGGUUCUCUGCCAGUUUUGUGAAUGUUUUAUUGUGCCGUUGUAAUUUAUGAGAAAAUAAUGCUUCUCUUUUAGCUUCUCGUUUUUUUGUUUUGUUUGUUUGGUUGGUUUGUUGUUGUUUUUUUCUUUUUUUUUUCUUUUCUUGGUUUGGUGCCAAGUGUGAGUGGAUUGUGUAAAGUGAAUGUGUGUGUGUGUGUGUGUGUGUGUGUGUGUUUGCAGGGCUGUCUGUUUCGGAUGCUCCUUUCCCUGAGCACAUGCAUCAUUCCUCACACAUCUUUCUAAAACUAAAGUGGGGUAUGCCCCCCCCCCCCCCCCUUCCCUAUUGCGUCUACAGUACUUGUCCGUGUCUGUGUGUCUCACAGUGCUAAUUGCCUUCUCAGUAGAACGGUGUUGAACUCACUCCUGAUCUCUCACCCCCACUGCCCCCCCCCCCCCCCCCCCCCCGCCCUCCAUUAGUCUGUGGUCCUCUGUGUGUUAGUAUCAUAAUAACCCCUAUGCUGAAUAGUCUCCCCCCCCCCCCCAAUGCAUUAGUCUGUGGUCCUCUGCGUGCAUGUUAGUAUCAUAAUAACCUCUAUGCUGAAGAGCCCCCCCAUGCUGCAUUAGUCUGUGGUCCUCUGUGUGUUAGUAUCAUAAUAACCGACUCUGUGUGCGUGUGUGGUGGAGUGACUGAGAGAGCUCUUCUUGACCUGUAAUGAAGCAAUAUCAGCCCAUAAGAAGUCAGGUUAGUAUACUGAAGUAAUAAUGGCAUGGUCUCCUGAAGCAUAUGUCCAUCGUGCCAGGUUAGUUUACUGAAGUAAUAAUGGCAUGGUCCUGAAGCAUAUGUCCAUCGUAGUGAUCUAGUGUACUCAUUCGUGGGCCACUGAUCAGUGUCAACAUCGUGCAUCUUGGUGUAGAGUUCCUUAAGACUCGUCUUUCAUCUUUUCUCUUUAUUCCCUUCUCUCUCUCUCUCUCUCUCUCUCUCUCUCUCUCUCUCUCUCUCUCUCUCUCUCUCUCUCUCUCUCUCUCAGAAGAGUGUUGUCACUGCACAGACACUAACGCUUUGCUCCGUUUGCCAGGUUGCAUGCUGGGACGGCUCUGGCCUAAUCAAGCAUCUCUGUCACCAGUUUCAAAAGACUUGUGUCUGUAUUUGAAACGCCUCACUUUGAGAACACUGCAGAAGUCUUCUAUCUAUCUCUCUUUUUCUCUCUCUUUUUCUCUCUCGCCUUGCUCUCUGUCUCUCUCUUUCCUUCUGACGGCUGCAAACUCUGCGGCUGGUGAGUCCUAACCUCUCCCCUAGUAGGUAGGUUGGGGAGGCAGUCAGGGACGCCACUGACAGGACAAAUAGUCAAACCCCCCUGAAAAGAAAAGAUGCCUAGAGUAUAAGUUUUGUGUCAGGAAACAUGACGUUAGAUUUGCGUUUUUGCAUGUCCAUUCCGAGCUGUUAAGACCAACCCAACACUCUGCUUCUGCCACCUGUAUAUAGGUGUACAAAGUCAUGAACACGUAGCAUCAGUGUUUGUUUUGUUUUUGUUAACUUUUUUUUAAGUGUUUUUGUUACCUCAGUUGGAUUUUUUUUUUUUUUUUUUGUUAAUUUGUUUUUGUUCCAGCUUGUCAAGUAUCCAUUUUGUAUAUCCGAAAUCAACAUCACCAGACAAGUUAUUUAUGAACAUAUUAUCCAGAACAGUGAGGAUAUGUGAUAUCCCUUACUGUUUCUUUUCUAUGGUAUUUAGUCCAUCCAGGCUGCCAUCAAAGGCAGUUAUUAUUAUUGCUGUUGUGUUCUAAUUAUGAUUGUUAUUAUUAUAUUAAGUUUGUGUCCGAUGUACAGUCCCUAAUACAGAGUCUUAUACUGUCAUGUGUCUCCUUUCAAUAAAGAAAAAGAAUUCUUAAUAUAA